rnacentral:rRNA from 1 species
UACGGAGGAUCCAAGCGUUAUUCGGAGUGACUGGGCGUAAAGAGUUGCGUAGGGGGUUUGUUAAGCAAAUAGUGAAAUCUUGUGGCUCAACCAUGAGGCUAUUAUUUGAACUGGCAGACUUGAGAAUAUGAGAGGUAGAUGGAAUUUCCAGUGUAGGGGUAAAAUCCGUAGAUAUUGGGAAGAACACCAAUGGCGUAGGCAGUCUACUGGCAUAUUUCUGACCCUGAGGCACGAAAGCGUGGGGAGCGAACCGG